GAUGAACGCUGGCGGCGUGCCUAAUACAUGCAAGUCGAGCGAACAGACGAGGAGCUUGCUCCUCUGACGUUAGCGGCGGACGGGUGAGUAACACGUGGAUAACCUACCUAUAAGACUGGGAUAACUUCGGGAAACCGGAGCUAAUACCGGAUAAUAUAUUGAACCGCAUGGUUCAAUAGUGAAAGACGGUUUUGCUGUCACUUAUAGAUGGAUCCGCGCCGCAUUAGCUAGUUGGUAAGGUAACGGCUUACCAAGGCAACGAUGCGUAGCCGACCUGAGAGGGUGAUCGGCCACACUGGAACUGAGACACGGUCCAGACUCCUACGGGAGGCAGCAGUAGGGAAUCUUCCGCAAUGGGCGAAAGCCUGACGGAGCAACGCCGCGUGAGUGAUGAAGGUCUUCGGAUCGUAAAACUCGGUUAUUAGGGAAGAACAAAUGUGUAAGUAACUAUGCACGUCUUGACGGUACCUAGUCAGAAAGCCACGGCUAACUACGUG
rnacentral:rRNA from 1 species